UUCUAUAAUAUGUCCUUAAUCUAAAAAUACAAAUUAUUCUUUAACAAUAUUCCACGUUGAAGAUGUUUACAGCCACUCUUCAACCUACUCUAUAUGAGUACAAGAUAUCAACCUCCGUUCACAUUAAUUGUACCUUUCAACCUCUCUUCACCUGCUCUACGUACAAUCAAGUUCCCUUCACAUUCAAUACAUGUGGUUUUCUACCUCUCUUUUCCUACUUAAAAAAAACGCCAUUCAACUUCUCUUUAUCUAUAAACUCCUUUCAACCUCUCUUAACAUACAAACAAGCUCCGUUGAUUAUUUUUUCCAUCAAAUAUAUGUUCACAUUUCAUGGAUUUACCAUCAAACUUUAAACUAAUUGACCAAACAAAGUUAAAUUAAAAGAAGUUUGUUGGCCAUACUCCAUGAAUUGUGAACAUAUCUUUGCCCACAUUCUAUGUAUGCCAAACAUAGUCGCGUGAUUGUGAAGAUAGAUAUUUCAUUCAUGCAUACAGUUGUUGUGCCAAUAAUCAUCAACUGAGAAAUCUACAAUACAUUGAAACUACUUAUACAUAUCAAUUGAUGUCAAUAUAUUAAAGUGUUUCCCCUAAUAGAAGUAGAAAGAGAAAUGGUCGCUUACUACAAAAGGAUUUUGAAGAGAAGGGUAAAAAUUCAGAUUCAAUAGAUUCAAUGAGUUGUAAGAAGGAUUGAAGAUUGCAACAUGUUUGUUUUAUGAAUGGUGCUGGAACCCGCGCUUUUGUCUUGGUGGGUGAUCCGAUUGGUCUGGUUUCGAAGUUUUGUGCAGGUUUGUGGUGCUGAUCUUUUGCUCAUUCCCCUCAGUUGUCCAGCUGUGUGGUUUGUCUGAGAGUUUCGGUUCUGCUGUUGGUGCUGUGUUUGUGUUGUUGCUGGAUCGGGUAGAGGUGAUGUGUGCUACUGAUGUAGCAGAUUUGUUAGGCGAGUGCUGGCUGGUUUGGUGCCGAGGCUUUUGGUGUUUUAGCUGGUGCUGCUGUUGUUGUUAUCUUUGGGAGUUUUGGUUCCUAUUUCUUCUUGUAAUAGGUUUGUAGGGUUUUUUUUUAUCGAGUUGUUGUUUGGUGGAGAGAAGCCGUUUGUUAUUAGGCUCUUGUUUGUAACUCUUUUUCCUCCUUUGCGGGUUAAGUACACAUUGUGCUAACCUUGCUUAAUAUAUUGGCUGUUUAAAAAAAAA